rnacentral:rRNA from 1 species
GAUGAACGCUGGCGGCGUGCCUAAUACAUGCAAGUCGAGCGAACGGACGAGAAGCUUGCUUCUCUGAUGUUAGCGGCGGACGGGUGAGUAACACGUGGAUAACCUACCUAUAAGACUGGGAUAACUUCGGGAAACCGGAGCUAAUACCGGAUGAUAUUUUGAACCGCAUGGUUCAAAAGUGAAAGACGGUCUUGCUGUCACUUAUAGAUGGAUCCGCGCUGCAUUAGCUAGUUGGUAAGGUAACGGCUUACCAAGGCAACGAUGCAUAGCCGACCUGAGAGGGUGAUCGGCCACACGAGAACUGAGACACGGUCCAGACUCCUACGGGAGGCAGCAGUAGGGAAUCUUCCGCAAUGGGCGAAAGCCUGACGGAGCAACGCCGCGUGAGUGAUGAAGGUCUUCGGAUCGUAAAACUCUGUUAUUAGGGAAGAACAUAUGUGUAAGUAACUGUGCACAGCUUGACGGUACCUAAUCAGAAAGCCACGGCUAACUACGUG